UUGACCUCGAAUCAGGUAGGACUACCCGCUGAACUUAAGCAUAUCAAUAAGCGGAGGAAAAGAAACCAACAGGGAUUGCCCUAGUAACGGCGAGUGAAGCGGCAACAGCUCAAAUUUGAAAUCUGGCCUUCGGGUCCGAGUUGUAAUUUGCAGAGGAUGCUUUUGGUGAGGUGCCUUCCGAGUUCCCUGGAACGGGACGCCAUAGAGGGUGAGAGCCCCGUCUGGUCGGACACCAAUCCUUUUGUAAAGCUCCUUUC
rnacentral:rRNA from 1 species